rnacentral:rRNA from 1 species
CCUACGGGAGGCAGCAGUGGGGGAUAUUGCACAAUGGGGGAAACCCUGAUGCAGCGACGCCGCGUGGGUGAAGAAGCGCCUCGGCGCGUAAAGCCCUGUCAGCAGGGAAGAAAAUGACGGUACCUGAAGAAGAAGCCCCGGCUAAAUACGUGCCAGCAGCCGCGGUAAUACGUAGGGGGCAAGCGUUAUCCGGAUUUACUGGGUGUAAAGGGGGCGCAGACGGCGAUGCAAGCCAGGAGUGAAAGCCCGGGGCCCAACCCCGGGACUGCUCUUGGAACUGCGUGGCUAGAGUGCAGGAGGGGUAGGCGGAAUUCCUGGUGUAGCGGUGAAAUGCGUAGAUAUCAGGAGGAACACCGGUGGCGAAGGCGGCCUGCUGGACUGCAACUGACGUUGAGGCCCGAAAGCGUGGGGAGCAAACAGGAUUAGAUACCCCAGUAGUC